CGUUCAUUGGUCGAUUAUAUGUAUGUAUAAUGUAAUUGUCUCUCAAAUUGCGAAUAGCGAACAAUGUUGUUUUGUUUUGAGAAAAAUGCGACGUUCGCUGUACAGUAUUCGGUAUAGUAUUUGACCUUUACAUUUUCUAGUUAAUUGACGUUGUUGCCAACGACGCGAUGCGAUGAGCUGCGUUCAUUUGUCAAGGCAAAUGAAUAUAACGUACGAAUACACACUACCCAACAGCGUUGACAUUGUUUUAUAUUUAGUGUAGUAUAGGUUAGUAUUUUGUAUAUAUAUAUUUUUUUAGUGAGCUAACUGUACAGGUGUAGUACUCUGAACUAAACACUUAAUGUGUCAAAAGCAUCGAGCAUCAAAAGUAGUUACACGAUAAUGUAGUUUAUUUUAAAACCGAAUAAGCUUGUCGGAAUAUGCUUCGAAGAUGGUGUCAGAAAAAAUUGCUAUCGAAGUGAAAUAAAAUUUAUCUUUUUUUUUCAUUA